UCGAAAUUGAGUAAAACUUACAUCGAUUUUUCAAUCUUCAAGUUUUCUCAAAUUUAUGAUUUUUUUGCUCAAAUCUUAUCUAUCUAGUGAAUAGAUCAUACAAAAAAGAGUAUACCGGCAACAUUUGGGUUUAAAUAGGUGUUUUUCAUUUACAAAACAGAAGAAAAUAUGGGGGAAUUUUCCCAGAAUCCUUUAUAUUUCAAUCCCCUUCUCACACUCAAGUUCGGGUGAUUCAUCGGGUCACCCGAGUUUCACAAUACCAGGGCAAGUUGGUAUAGUGGCUUACCCAAGUGCUGUAGCAGUAGCAGUACAUAUACCGCCCGAGUUCUUUGUUUUCCUUUUUUGGGUUGAGGGGGUGUAUACGAGCUCGACAUUGACUCAAGCUUGUCCGAGUAAACUUGCCCAAGUUUGCAAACACUGCAUAAAAUACUCAAGAAACUAGAAAACAAAAAAAAAACAAAUAAGAAAGCGUUUGUCCUUCGUAAUACACAUGGUAGCGCUGGCUCGAAUAACUACAAAAAGCAUAAAAGAAGAAAAAGGGUCAAGAAAUAGAGAAAAAUACUUCAUAUCAAGUAUUCGAAAUAAAAAAAAUUGGUUUCAUACACAAUACAAAUCAAUAAAACAUUUUGGAAAGAAAAAGGGAAUAAAAUGAGCAAAAAUAAAACCAGAAAUAAAAAUCAAGAUUUCUUUUGUUUUGAUUCAAAUAAAUUGUUAGGCCUUUUGUAAACUUAAAUGGCUUUGGUGAAAAAGUGAGAGAAAUUGAAGAAUUCUUAUUUUGGGUUCCAAUACCCCUCAAAAUUUGGAAACUCGAUUUAUCAUAUUUUGAUUUUUGAUACUACAAAUUAAUAUAGCUUGAGAGGUAAUAAAAAUAAUUUUGAAACAAAUUGCAAGUUAUUUUUGUUAAGAAUCGAGUGAAAAUUUUGAAGAAAUGCAGACUGGUUUUUUGGGGUCGAAGAACCAUGAGAUUUUUUUUUUUUCUUUUCUGACUUCGAAGAACCAUGAGAUUUUUAUGAGGAAAUCUCAUCAAAACCUCAAAUUAAUCAAAAUACACUAGCUUUGGACCCAAAAAAAUGUCUUCAGCAAUUGAUUUCAGGGGUUAGAUAACAGUAAAUCAAUCAUUGAUUUAAAACAAUAAAAGACAUUUUUCUAAUUGAUUUCAGGGGUUAAAUAACAAUGAAUCAAUCAUUGAUCCAAAACAAAUAAAAGACUAUAUCUUAAGACAUAUUUUUCUGUCUUAUUUAUUUAUUUUUAGGGCACUGGGUGCCUUGCCUAAGUCUGUGCGAAAACCAGUCCAGUACCCUGCCAGCCCCUACUUAACUUAGCUGGUCCCAAGUUGACUCAGCCAGGUUUAAAUCACUGUAAACAUCAAAUGCUUCCAAGAAGGAACAACAAUUAAAUCACUGUUAACAUC
rnacentral:lncRNA from 1 species